AUGACAAUUUUUCUCUAUGCACAUCAUAAAACAUUGUCCUUGAUGAGGUCUUUUACAAAAAAGAGAGACAUUGUUAGACCGGGAGUGACGAGAUUUGCUUCCGCAUUUCUUACCUUGCAAAGUAUUAUUGCUAAGAAGACAGAACUAAGGGCAAUGGUUUGUAGUGAUGAACGGGAGGCAUGUAAGCACACAAGAACAAAGAAAGGAAAAUCAGCUCAUGCCACAAUAAUGAGUAGGGGUUUUUGGAAAGGUGUCUCUCUUUGCAUCAGGGUUUUUGAACCAUUGGUGCAGGUGCUUCGGUUGGCUGAUGGUGAUGGUCCAUCAAUGGCCACUAUGUAUGGAGAAAUAGUAAGUGCAAAGAAGGAUAUCAUGCUUGCUGUUGAAAAUUCAGAAAAGGACUAUUUGGUGAUCACUAAUGCCAUGGAUGGCAAGAUGAGAGGGAGUCUGGAUUCUCCAUUACACAUGGCAGCAUAUAUGUUGAAUCCCAAAUAA
rnacentral:rRNA from 1 species